rnacentral:rRNA from 1 species
CGGUCCAGACUCCUACGGGAGGCAGCAGUGGGGAAUAUUGGACAAUGGGCGCAAGCCUGAUCCAGCCAUACCGCGUGGGUGAAGAAGGCCUUCGGGUUGUAAAGCCCUUUUGUUGGGAAAGAAAAGCAGCUGGUUAAUACCCGGUUGUUCUGACGGUACCCAAAGAAUAAGCACCGGCUAACUUCGUGCCAGCAGCCGCGGUAA